rnacentral:rRNA from 1 species
GAUGAACGCUGGCGGCGUGCCUAAUACAUGCAAGUCGAGCGAACAGACGAGGAGCUUGCUCCUCUGACGUUAGCGGCGGACGGGUGAGUAACACGUGGAUAAUCUACCUAUAAGACUGGGAUAACUUCGGGAAACCGGAGCUAAUACCGGAUAAUAUAUUGAACCGCAUGGUUCAAUAGUGAAAGACGGUUUUGCUGUCACUUAUAGAUGGAUCCGCGCCGCAUUAGCUAGUUGGUAAGGUAACGGCUUACCAAGGCAACGAUGCGUAGCCGACCUGUGAGGGGGAUCGGCCACACGGGAACUGGGACACGGUCCAGGCUCCUACGGGAGGCAGCAGUAGGGAAUCUUCCGCAGUGGGCGAAAGCCUGACGGAACAACGCCGCGUGAGUGAUGAAGGUCUUCGGAUCGUAAAACUCUGUUAUUGGGGAAAAACAAAUGUGUAAGUAACUAUGCACGUCUUGACGGUACCUAAUCAGAAAGCCACGGCUAACUACGUG